rnacentral:sRNA from 1 species
AAAAUUGAGAGUGGAUUCAUGGAAUCUUUUUUAUUGAAAAUACAUGUUGGCUUGUUUGAUUAGUUGAGAGACUGCUAAACAUUUAUUUCAUAUAACUAGCAAAGAUCGAUAUAUCGUCGUGUACACAAAAGUACUACUGUAUAUGUUUGAUCGAAUCUGAAGAACCAAAUUUAUAUUUUCAGACUGAUUGUGUAUAUGGUCUCGUAAUAUACAAUCAUAUGAUAAUUAGCCAUCACUAAUGUAGUCAUGUCUUUAUGCUGAAAGAGUGUAGAGACUCUGCCGUCAUAAUGCAGCUGUUAACUACGAGAGCGAAGCUAAAUAUUUUUGAAAAGCUCCCACUUCAAUCGAACGGAGGGAAAAACCUCUUGCGCAUGGAAUAGAGUAGUCAACAAUCAUUUGUAAUUGUAAUAGAAAAAACUAGUUUAAUUAGAAAUUGAGCAUCAAAUUUAAACAGCUCUGUAAAAUUUUCUAAUUGUAAUAAGAAAUUUUUGUUAUAUCUGUCUUAAAAUAUACACCAAAGGUAGACACAAUAUCUCCUACAAGUGCACAUUCAACUUCUAGAUAUAGACAAAGUUCCAAACUU